UACAGAGGUCCCAAGCGUUGUUCGGAUUCACUGGGCGUAAAGGGUGCGUAGGUGGUCGGGUAAGUCCGAUGUGAAAUCUCCGAGCCUAACUCGGAAACUGCAUCGGAUACUAUUCGGCUUGAGGGUUGGAGGGGGGACUGGAAUACUUGGUGUAGCAGUGAAAUGCGUAGAUAUCAAGUGGAACACCAGUGGCGAAGGCGAGUCCCUGGACAACUCCUGACACUGAGGCACGAAAGCUAGGGGAGCAAAC
rnacentral:rRNA from 1 species